UACGAAGGGGGCUAGCGUUGCUCGGAAUCACUGGGCGUAAAGCGCACGUAGGCGGCUUGUUAAGUCAGGGGUGAAAUCCUGGAGCUCAACUCCAGAACUGCCUUUGAUACUGGCGAGCUUGAGUCCGGGAGAGGUGAGUGGAACUACGAGUGUAGAGGUGAAAUUCGUAGAUAUUCGCAAGAACACCAGUGGCGAAGGCGGCUCACUGGCCCGAUACUGACGCUGAGGUGCGAAAGCGUGGGGAGCAAACAGG
rnacentral:rRNA from 1 species